GUGUAGCGUAGUGGUUAGUGUGUCAGACUAGGACCUGGGAGAGGAGGGUUCAAAUCCCUCCUGGGCCA
rnacentral:tRNA from 1 species